UUUUGCUGAAAUUCUCCAAUCAAUAAUUGCCUGAUGCAUCCCAAUGUUCACAAUCGUGAAUAUGAUAGCUGUAUUUAAGGAAAUUUGUGACUUGUGUGAUGAAAUGAACAUUAGCCGCCAUUAUUUUCCCCCAACAAAUGUCAAAGGGAAAUAAGCCAAUCAUCAAAAAUAUGGGUAAACUCGUCCUCUGAUCAACUCAAACCAUGGCAAGACGAAACAGCAUUACUAAAAAUCAUGUCGUAAAAAAAAAAAAAAAAUGAAAAAAUAAAAUAAAAUGGAAAUACCGACCUACCAACCCUAUUUCUGUAAAGUAUGUAACCUUAAACAGACACAUAUUUUUUUUUGGGCCUAAUCACAAGCUGGAAACUGCAAAAAUGCUUAUCUGGGCCCCUUGUUUGGCCCCUAAUUCCUAAACAGUUGGGAC
rnacentral:lncRNA from 1 species